AUGGCGUCGGGAUGGUCACAUGCACAGCGACCUUCCAGUACGAAAGUGUAUGGCAAUCUCAUCCUGACUACGAUGACAUGGUUAGGAGAAUGUGGCGGACAGGAGCUGGACAAGGUGGACUACAAGGACUUGUCGACGCUCUCUCGAGCUAAUGGUCAGAUAUGCAGCGACCGAGGGGAGAUAAAACAGGAAAUACCGAGCUUCUACGAGGCAUUAUACCAAUCCCAAGGGUAUAGCCCAAUGAAAGAGCUGUUGGAAUGUGUGCAACCUCGUGUAUCCGAAGCCAUGAAUGAGUUCAUUGAGAAGGACUUUGUGGCUAAAGAAGUAAGGAAGGCACUUUUUGAUAUGGCAUCGCCCAAGGCCCCGGGCGUCGACGGUUUCACGGUUGGUUUUUAUCAACUACACUGGGAUGUAGCCGGUGAGGAUGUAACAUACGUUCAACAUUUGUUAAAUGCUUGA
rnacentral:rRNA from 1 species